rnacentral:rRNA from 1 species
UACGGAGGGUGCAAGCGUUAAUCGGAAUUACUGGGCGUAAAGGGUGCGUAGGUGGUUUGAUAAGUUAGCUGUGAAAUUCCUGGGCUUAACCUAGGGUGGUCAGCUAAGACUGUUAGACUUGAGUAUAGGAGAGGGUAGUGGAAUUUCCGGUGUAGAGGUGAAAUUCGUAGAUAUCGGGAGGAACACCAGUGGCGAAGGCGGCGACCUGGUCCGAGACUGACGCUGAGGCGCGAAAGCGUGGGGAGCAAACAGG